UUCCGGUUGAUCCCGCCGGACCCGACUGCUAUUUGGGUGAGGAUAAGCCAUGCGAGUUGAAUGGGAAACCUAAAAAUCCCAUGGCAAACUGCUCAGUAACACAUGAUCAACUUACCCUAUAGAGGAAAAUAACCUCGGGAAACUGAGGAUAAUGUUCCAUAGUUGAAUCGGCUUGGAAAAGUUUUUCAAUAAAAGGGAUAAGGAAAAUGGUCCUUAUCUGCUAUAGGAUAGGAUCGUGCUCGAUUAUGGUUGUUGGUGAGGUAAAGGCUCACCAAGCCGAUAAUCGAUAGGGGCCGUGAGAGCGGGAGCCCCGAGAUGGGUACUGAGACAACGACCCAGGCCUUACGAGGCGCAGCAGGCGCGAAACCUCCGCAAUACACGAAAGUGUGACGGGGUUACCCAAAGUGUUCAUUAGAACUGUGGUAGGUGAGUAAUGUUCCCUACUAGAAAGGAGAGGGCAAGGCUGGUGCCAGCCGCCGCGGUAAAACCAGCUCUUCAAGUGGUCGGGAUAAUUAUUGGGCUUAAAGUGUCCGUAGCCGGUUUAGUAAGUUCCUGGUAAAAUCGGGUAGCUUAACUAUCUAUAUGCUAGGAAUACUGCUAUACUAGAGGGCGGGAGAGGUCUGAGGUACUACAGGGGUAGGGGUGAAAUCUUAUAAUCCUUGUAGGACCACCAGUGGCGAAGGCGUCAGACUGGAACGCGCCUGACGGUGAGGGACGAAAGCCAGGGGAGCGAACCGGAUUAGAUACCCGGGUAGUCCUGGCCGUAAACGAUGCAUACUAGGUGAUGGCACGGCCAUGAGCCGUGUCAGUGCCGUAGGGAAACCGUUAAGUGUGCCGCCUGGGAAGUACGGUCGCAAGGCUAAAACUUUAAAGGAAUUGGCGGGGGAGCACCACAAGGGGUGAAGGCCUGCGGUUCAAUUGGAUUCAACGCCGGGAAUCACUAGUGCGGC
rnacentral:rRNA from 1 species